AUACGUAGGGAGCGAGCGUUGUCCGGAAUUACUGGGUGUAAAGGGAGCGAAGGCGGGGGUGCAAGUCCGAUGUGAAAUGCAUGGGCUUAACCCAUGAGGUGCAUUUGAAACUGCGUUUCUUGAGUGAAGUAGAGGAAAGCGGAAUUCCUGGUGUAGCGGUGAAAUGCGCAGAUAUCAGGAGGAAAACCGGUGGCGAAGGCGGCUUCCUGGGCUUUUCCGGACGCUGAGGCCCGAAAGCGGGGGGAGCAAACAGGAUUAGAUACCCUGGAAGUCCACCCGUUAAACGAGGAUUCUAAGGUGUGGGGGGACUGACCCCUUCCGUGCCGCAGUUAACGCAAUAAGUAAUCCACCUGGGGAGUACGGCCGCAAGGUUGAAACUCAAAUGAAUUGGCGGGG
rnacentral:rRNA from 1 species